GAGUUUGAUCUUGGCUCAGAACGAACGCUGGCGGCAGGCUUAACACAUGCAAGUCGAGCGCCCCGCAAGGGGAGCGGCAGACGGGUGAGUAACGCGUGGGAAUCUACCUUUUGCUACGGAAUAACUCAGGGAAACUUGUGCUAAUACCGUAUGUGCCCUUCGGGGGAAAGAUUUAUCGGCAAAGGAUGAGCCCGCGUUGGAUUAGCUAGUUGGUGGGGUAAAGCCCACCAAGGCGACGAUCCAUAGCUGGUCUGAGAGGAUGAUCAGCCACACUGGGACUGAGACACGGCCCAGACUCCUACGGGAGGCAGCAGUGGGGAAUAUUGGACAAUGGGCGCAAGCCUGAUCCAGCCAUGCCGCGUGAGUGAUGAAGGCCCUAGGGUU
rnacentral:rRNA from 1 species